rnacentral:sRNA from 1 species
GUUACUGUACUCCCAGCAGGAUGCUCUUCUGCCUUGUCCCAUCGUUCAGUUUAAUCCUCUAGAAAGAAAAUUUUUAGAGGUACAGCGGACUAAAUCAUUUUCUUCUGAGCACACCAGUUCCAAAUGGCCGCCCAGGGUCCUAAAUCCGGUGGCUGCGGACAGGGACUAGCGGGUGUCCUACUCUGCAGAGCCGUAGGACUCGAGCGCCUUCAUCACUGGACGUUGGAAGCCAGGAAGGAAACCCACACACUCAGGGACAGGUAUAACCCCGCACGGGUGCACCAGCGAGGCCCCGAUAUCAGCAAGGACUCCAUCCCUGAGCUUAGUGGGGGCGUCCUGGGGAGGAAGCGAACACUUUCCCCAUUCAAGUCAGAGAGCAGGACUCACUGGGUCGCAGGUCAGAAGUUGAAUUUUAACCCGACCUGCGCUUUGUCCCCGCGCCUUCCGCAGCCCGGGCGCCGCGGUGGCACCUAGCUGGGAGAGGACGAGAGAGGCUGGCGCGGGAGAAGCCGAGAGUUGCUACCGACCGGGAGCUGCCGGCGGCGGGAGCAGACGCGACCCUCGCCGCUUUCGAACGCGAAGCCGCGGAGAGCUGAGCUCGGCUGCUGGGUAUCGGCUCCCCGCACUCUGCCUUGCCCUUUCGACAGAGGGCAGCUCCCUGCCUGCUGCAGCCCCGCCACUGUGCGCGCGGCCGCCCCGGGGUGCGCCCAGCCCGCCCCCCGAGCGGCCGCCGGGACUCCAGCAGUUGGACCGACCCUCGCCCUCCGGCGCCUGGACAAACUUCCUUCCUCCCGGGCCCCUGCGCCAAGCAGGAUGACAGGCGGCUGCCUCGCAGGUCUCCUCUGGGCUCUGGCCGGGCGAGCUUGCUCUCUGCCCCUCUCCAACCCCGAGCCCCUGGCGCCUAUAGCCGUCCCCGCGCAGCCGCUCCAACAAAGCCAGAGGCCCGGAGACGACCGGGCGAGAGGCUGGGAGUGGCAGCGGGGACCCCAGAGCCAGAAGGAGGCGUCCCCUCGGCGGGGCGAGUACAGUGGGAAGGGGCAGCGGGGACGUAGCGGGGAGAGAAAAGGGAAGAAAGUCUCCUGUUCUCGGCGCGAAACGCCUGCCUGGCUCGUCCUCGCUCCCUUUCUCCCCCCGCCUGAACGCGUCCAGUGUCCCGUUGGGAAUUGGCAGGCGGGGGAGGGAGGAGGGGAGAGAGGACCUGGUGGCCUGGCGAGCGAGCCGCUCCCUUACCUCUGUCCAGGGUGAGCGGCUGGACUACUGUCAAUGUCGCCAUGUCUGCCGUGGGAGCCGAAGUGACGCUCGGCUUCAGCAUCAGCAACCGCUCGUAGUGAGAAAAAAAGGAGGAGAUUGGGGGCGGGGGUGGAGAGGGAAGACGGAAAGCAGGGGGAGGAGGGGGAAGGAAGGAAGGUGGUGGUGGUGGAGAAGAAAGCUUGGGUGGGUUGGUAGCCAGAUGGAGACGCAACUGUUCCGCGGCGGCAGAUCUUCAGUUGCGGUGCGGAGCUGAGCAGGUAUACGAGAACCACUGCAUCGCCGGGCUCUGGGAGGGAAGGCUCUGCCCUAGAACUUUGCUAUUCCACCCCCGGGAGCGCUGGGUGGGUGUAGCUGGCUGGCUGCUUCCUUUCAACUUUCCAGUCUAAUAAAAUGGUCAGAAUAUACGUGUGUGCAUGCGUGUGCGUGUGUAUAUCAGGGGAAGAGAGAGGAUGGAAAGGGGAUAUGGGGAAGGGAGUGGGAGAUGAGUUUUCUCAGAUUAAGAGAAAUUGCCAAUCCAAUAAUCCCAUCCCUUUUAGAGAGAAAACGCUUCCAUUGUCAGAAAUGUUUGGGAUGUAAUUACAUUUGCAGUUAAUUUCUGUUGAAGUUUUUCGGAAUGUUGACCUAUAACGGCAUAUAAAGAUAACUGACUAAAGGCCAGCGUUCCAUCAGUAGAUGUUCCUUUAGGACCUGAGUAUAUUGCCUGGAAAAAAAAAAAAAAAAAAAAAGAAAGGCAAACCUCUUAAAAAGUGCUUCAAAAUAAAAAACAUGUAGGUAAGUUUCUAUCACUAAGUUUUUCUUUUUCAAGCCACUGUUAAUACAUUACCAAUUCAGUAAAUGUAACUCAGAAACAAGAAGAGUGUUCAGAUUUUCUCCGAAGUUUUUACAUACCACAUCUUGUAAACAUGCCCCACUCCCCCCCACCCACCCAACAACAAAAACUUUGCUCUUAAUGUCCAAACUGAUUUUGGUUGUCUAUCACUAAGUUUGAAAAAUACGUACCUAGCACUUUUCAUGUUGAUUUCUAACCAGUGGUUCAGAGAUGCCACUUAUUGAUUGAUUAACAUAUAUGCCAGGAAUUGAGAUAGAAGAGUUACAUUGCCUUGUGCCACGCCUUGAUUUAGGAGUUCAAUUUAGUCUCUGACUUCCUGUAGCCUGUAAUCUAGUGGGAGAUGGUGUUAUUAAAAACUUGGCUUUAGAGUCAGUUGAUCAGGAUUAAAUUACAAGAGCCUUCAAAUACUGGCUGUGACUUCUUCGCCCCAAUAAAAAGGGUACUUUCACUAUCUUGUCAUAGUAGGGAUUCAUUUCCUGACUACAAAAUCAAGAAACAUAAAGAAACCUUCUAUAAACUGAAUAGGAGUGACUGUGGGUGCAGGAUUGGAAAUGACAAAGCUGCCUCCAUCUUGUUUCCUGUGACAGAGCUGAAUUGUUUGGGCUAGCAAUAAACUCUAAAAGGCAGAAAGUGUUUUAUAGCAAAAUAUUUGCAUAUAAUUGAUGCCAUUUUCUUCUGAUUACAGAUAGGAUUUCUGAAGGUCUUUUUCAUUUUAUAGUCUACAAUUGAAUUUUAAAAAGCAACAUUUCACCAAUGUGGGAAAGCCAAAGAUGAUUGGCCAUAUAUAGACUUAACAGACCCUAAAAACAAAACUAAAAUAGUAGUUCGAUAGCUUAUUUUUAUUAAGUAUUUAAGAAAGAAUGCUGAUCUUGACAUUUGAGUCUUAGUUAUGUGCUCUUCAGAAGUCACACAAUCUCUCACUGAUCCUGUUUCCUCCUCUGUCAUACAAUGGAAAUAAUAUCAUUCAAUGUCACAGAGAUCUGUCAUAUGAGGAAACUAAUUCUACCUUGUAAUCUCACUGAGUUUUGUGAGGGUCUAAUGGACUCAUACAUGUGACUGUGCUUUGAAAACAGUAAAGAAUAUACAAAUUUAUUUAUAUGAGCAUACAUCCCCUGGAACCAUGUGGUAAGCUCUGUGCUGGGUGCUAACCAUGCAAAGGUUAAUGAGAUGGCCCCCUCUCUGCCCAGUCUUGCUUGGGAGACAGUGAGCAAACCAUAAGCUUCUGUGCAGUAAGUACUCUAAGCACUAUUAAAAGGAAGUGCUCUUGGAGGCCAGAGGUUGCAAAAACAACUUUGGUUUUUUACCGUUAUUCACAUGCCCUGAAUUAAGCAACAGAAAGAAGUUGAGAUGAGUGCAAUGAUGCCAGAGUGUGUUCUAAGCUUUUGCACAAAAUUAUUAAACCUCACUCAGUAACUGAGGAUAAAAGAACAUACAAAUCCCUUGACUUCUAAUGUAGUUAUUUUACAACAUCCUUUAUUAGGGAAUAUGUAUUUAAGCAGCUUGAUUCAUCAGCCCAAAAGUCAUAAAUUGUACCCAUUCCAACACAAAUCCCUGAUUGUGGUGUCAGUGAAGGUAGAGUUUUCUUUGUCUUUUUGUUUCCUGAUGCAUCCUCAGGACUAAACAUUUCAUAGCAUAUUUCUGGACUUAUGUCUUGAGCUUCCUAUUUGAAAUUUGUUCUGUCAUUCUUUCUCUGUGUUGACUCUGUAGGGUUGUUGUUGUUUUUAAAUCAAGAUUAAAAGAGAAAUUAAAAGGGAGCAUAAAUCACCAU